AACUGAAACUGCGUAAAAAACAUCGCUCCUCAUCUGAUCUGUUUGUUCCAUCAGAUAGAUCAUAAAAAUAAAAACCAGGCACGCGCACACACAUCCACCAAAAGCAUUCAUUUGACCAUACCUGAUUAUGAAUGCAAGGGAGGCACCUAACAACUAUUUAGGGAUAUAACAAUGAGUCACGUGGAACAUGCACGGCAUAUAAUAACUGCUUGCCAUGGAUCAAACGAAUUUCCUCUAACUAUUAUAAUGUCUAAGUUUAAAAUUAAACGGUUCAUUUAUUUUAGUUUAUUUAGGUGAAAAGGGAGCUCGAGACCCGCUCCCUUCGCCCCAACUUCAUAAGAGUACCAUUGUCUGAAACAUUGUUGGUUGUAAGAAUUAAAUACGAAACACAAGUGUGGAUAGCUAAAAGUUUCCACAAAGCCAUCAAGUGUGCUUUGUGCAUAGGCACGAGAAAGAGAAGAAAAGGAAAAUGGCUACAUGCCAUGAUAGCAAAGGAAACAAUUAACCAUAUGUAACCAGGGGCAAAAACAGUAACAAGUUUUGAAAACAAAAGAAGA